rnacentral:rRNA from 1 species
UACGAAGGGAGCAAGCGUUGUUCGGAAUUACUGGGCGUAAAGGGCUCGUAGGCGGCCAACUAAGUCAGACGUGAAAUCCCCAGGCUCAACCUGGGAACUGCGUCUGAUACUGGAUGGCUUGAAUCCGGGAGAGGGAUGCAGAAUUCCAGGUGUAGCGGUGAAAUGCGUAGAUAUCUGGAGGAAUACCGGUGGCGAAGGCGGCAUCCUGGACCGGCAUUGACGCUGAGGAGCGAAAGCUAGGGGAGCAAACGGG